rnacentral:rRNA from 1 species
AUGAACGCUAGCGGCAGGCUUAACACAUGCAAGUCGAGGGGCAGCAUAAUGGUAGUAAUACUAUUGAUGGCGACCGGCGGACGGGUGCGUAACGCGUAUGCAACCUACCCUUUACAGGGGGAUAACACUGAGAAAUCGGUACUAAUACCCCAUAAUAUUCCGGGAGGCAUCUUUCGGAGUUGAAAGCUUUGGUGGUAAAGGAUGGGCAUGCGUUGUAUUAGCUAGUUGGUAAGGUAACGGCUUACCAAGGCGACGAUACAUAGGGGGACUGAGAGGUUAACCCCCCACAUUGGUACUGAGACACGGACCAAACUCCUACGGGAGGCAGCAGUGAGGAAUAUUGGUCAAUGGACGGAAGUCUGAACCAGCCAUGCCGCGUGCAGGAAGACGGCUCUAUGAGUUGUAAACUGCUUUUGUACGAGGGUAAACGCAGAUACGUGUAUCUGCCUGAAAGUAUCGUACGAAUAAGGAUCGGCUAACUCCGUGCCAGCAGCCGCGGUAAUACGGAGGAUCCAAGCGUUAUCCGGAUUUAUUGGGUUUAAAGGGUGCGUAGGCGGUUUAGUAAGUCAGCGGUGAAAUUUUGGUGCUUAACACCAAACGUGCCGUUGAUACUGCUGGGCUAGAGAGUAGUUGCGGUAGGCGGAAUGUAUGGUGUAGCGGUGAAAUGCUUAGAGAUCAUACAGAACACCGAUUGCGAAGGCAGCUUACCAAACUAUAUCUGACGUUGAGGCACGAAAGCGUGGGGAGCAAACAGGAUUAGAUACCCUGGUAGUCCACGCAGUAAACGAUGAUAGCUCGUUGUCGGCGAUACACAGUCGGUGACUAAGAGAAAUCGAUAAGCUAUCCACCUGGGGAGUACGUUCGCAAGAAUGAAACUCAAAGGAAUUGACGGGGGCCCGCACAAGCGGAGGAACAUGUGGUUUAAUUCGAUGAUACGCGAGGAACCUUACCCGGGCUUGAAUUGCAACUGAAUGAUGUGGAGACAUGUCAGCCGCAAGGCAGUUGUGAAGGUGCUGCAUGGUUGUCGUCAGCUCGUGCCGUGAGGUGUCGGGUUAAGUCCCAUAACGAGCGCAACCCCUACUGAUAGUUGCCAUCAGAGCGUUUGAGCGAUCAAACAAGCUGGGCACUCUAUCGGGACUGCCGGUGUAAGCCGAGAGGAAGGUGGGGAUGACGUCAAAUCAGCACGGCCCUUACGUCCGGGGCGACACACGUGUUACAAUGGUAGGUACAGAGGGCAGCCACCCAGUGAUGGGGAGCGAAUCUCGAAAGCCUAUCUCAGUUCGGAUUGGAGGCUGAAACUCGCCUCCAUGAAGUUGGAUUCGCUAGUAAUCGCGCAUCAGCCAUGGCGCGGUGAAUACGUUCCCGGGCCUUGUACACACCGCCCGUCAAGCCAUGGGAGUUGGGGGUGCCUGAAGUUCGUGACCGAAAGGAGCGACCUAGGGCAAAACCGAUGACUGGGGCU